CUUUUUUGCCCCACUGUACUUUCAAAAUCUUAGCUAGCAGUCAUCAUCAUCAUGAAUCAAGUCUACAAUCUACUGGUAAAUCUUGUUUAAUCCUUGUCAUAUGAAGACAAAUAAUGAAGAGAAAGUAGAGAUAAAACUAAUCGGUGCUCACCGGUCAUUGGACAUAAACAUUACACAACAAGUUGAAAUCGCAAAUUCAACUAUGAUUGGUUUGGAAGGAAUCAGUGGCUAACUGCAAGCAUUGCAAAGCAAUCACUAGCCUGCUACUCAGUGGAGUGGGUGUUUGGUCCCAAUUCUGGGUUUAAGGGUCUCUUUUCAAAGCAAUUUUGUUUUUGUUUGACGCACCAAGAUUUACAUGCUAACAUCACCACUGUGCAUAAGUGAUUUCGCUGUAACUUGUAAUGAUUGAAAAUUAAACAUGUGUAUGUUUCUUAUUUAGGCCUACACAAUGCUUCCUUGCAACACAUGGUAGCAUUUUAAAAGCAACAUAAGCUACACAUUGUUGUUCAGAGAAAUGAUAAUUACAGUAAUAAUAACAAUAAUUAUUAUUGUUAUUUCUGUUGGAAGUGGUUUUCUCGGAUAACCUCUGAAUAAUAUGCAAAUUGCAAAGGACUUUUAUUUUGAUAUGGUGAAUACGGGAUUUUUCUCGUGACGUCACUACUGUGGAGCGCCAUAACCUACUUUCAAAUAUGCAGGGUGGUUUCGAGAACUGAACCGCGACUGACUAUCUGGGCUGAAAUUAAUUUUAACAGUAGAACAGGUUCUUAGCAACAGUAUAAACGCAUACCAUCUCAUUGUGAAUGCAAUUGUAUAUCAACGUUGAGUACUGUCAUUCUGUACACACAUUCAUAUGAGUGUACACAGGUCAAUUUAUUUGCGCUGCAUGAAUGCGUUCCGUCGUGUCUGAGCAAGUCCAACUUCAUUCGUUUUGGAUCGGGAAGCAUUGGCACUAUGUGGAGUAUUGAUGUACACCAGUGGUCACCACCGGGUCUUGAUGGGUGGGUAUAAUUUGUGGAACGUUCCAACAGGAAUCUGUUCCAAAAACGUAAAGUACAAGGUUGCCAACAAACAACGCAUACAAAGUAGCAUGAUCAAUUUACCGAGCUAACUUAAGUUAGCUGCCGAAUAGGCAUCAACUCACCACGUAGCUUAUUCUUAAUGUGUGUCCAUAGGCGACCAGAGUGUGGACAGAUAUUUUUAGGAAUGAAAGUGGUGAGUGAAAAACGUAAUGAUAUAGCCCAAUAGCCGACCCUACCCGGUAUCUUAUUCUGCAGCUAUACACCUUGUAUGUGUUGUUUGUUGGCAACCUUGUUAUUUACGUAGUUUUUGGAACAGAUUCAUGUUGGAACGUUCCACAAAGUAUACCCACCCGUCGUGAUGAGCUACAGGGGGUGAAGGCUUUUGUUCCUGCCCAACUCUAACACAACCUAAUGUUUUGAAUCAGGUGUUUUGGUGCUGACUGUACUUCAAGUAUCCAGAAUGUCCUUAUUGUUAUUAGACACUGGGCAAAUCAGGACACCUCUAUUUCAAGAUUAUUUAAAUAUCAAUAUGGGCAUUCUCAGGAGUCCAUGUGUAACACAAACCUUGAGUAUAACCACUUUAUAUCGCUGUAACAGUGUCUCACCACUUCUCUCUCCGCCUCUGGCAGACAUGUUGCCUGUGUUGGUCUAUGGGGAGCGGAGCACAACCCUAAGGGGCGUGCAGAACUGUCGUCUGCAUGGGUCUGGGCUGCAGUUAGGAGGGGCUGUGCUGAACUCCAGGGGCAGCGCCAUGGACGCCGUGGUGGAGGGGUUACUCUGUUGGAGAAUGACCACCACUACAACUCAGGUCAACACACACCCAUGACUAGGGCGUGGAGUAUUUUCUAGCCAGGUCACAUGGCCAGAAAAAAACACCAGAUAAGGGUCAGAUAAGAUGGGCACGGUAGGGGCGGUGGAUGCGGAAGGGAACAUAGCCUGUGCCAUCUUCACUGGCAUGCUGAACAAGAUGGAGGGCAGGCUGGGGGACACAGCCUGUAUCGAAGGACGUGUGUGUGUGUGUGUGUGUGCGUGCCAGGAUGUGGGGGUUAUUCUGAUAACAAGGUGGGAGCAGUGUCCCCCACAGGAUAUGGAGAAGCCAUCAUGAAGGUCACACAUCCAAACUCAUGGCUAAACUCAUCCUGUUCCACAUGGUAACUAGGAAACAGUGAGGAGGCAGCAGCAGACGAGGCCCCGGCCUAUAUGAAGGAGAGUGGUUGGUCUGGGUGAAGUGGUGCUGGACCCCCAUGGUUGAUGGUCCGGUCGCUCCAACAGCCUGCAGAUGGCCUGUACACUGGAG